CCGUAGCAGCGUGCUUAACACAUGCAAGUCGAACGAUGAAGCCCAGCUUGCUGGGUGGAUUAGUGGCGAACGGGUGAGUAGCACGUGGGUGAUCUGCCCUGCACUUCGGGAUAAGCCUGGGAAACUGGGUCUAAUACCGGAUAGGACCUCGGGAUGCAUGUUCCGGGGUGGAAAGGUUUUCCGGUGCAGGAUGGGCCCGCGGCCUAUCAGCUUGUUGGUGGGGUAACGGCCCACCAAGGCGACGACGGGUAGCCGGCCUGAGAGGGCGACCGGCCACACUGGGACUGAGACACGGCCCAGACUCCUACGGGAGGCAGCAGUGGGGAAUAUUGCAGGAUGGGCGCAAGCCUGAUGCAGCGACGCCGCGUGAGGGAUGACGGCCUUCGGGUUGUAAACCUCUUUCAGUACCGACGAAGCGCAAGUGACGGUAGGUACAGAAGAAGCACCGGCCAACUACGUGCCAGCAGCCGCGGUAAUACGUAGGGUGCGAGCGUUGUCCGGAAUUACUGGGCGUAAAGAGCUCGUAGGCGGUUUGUCGCGUCGUCUGUGAAAACCCGCAGCUCAACUGCGGGCUUGCAGGCGAUACGGGCAGACUUGAGUACUGCAGGGGAGACUGGAAUUCCUGGUGUAGCGGUGAAAUGCGCAGAUAUCAGGAGGAACACCGGUGGCGAAGGCGGGUCUCUGGGCAGUAACUGACGCUGAGGAGCGAAAGCGUGGGUAGCGAACAGGAUUAGAUGCCCUGGUAGUCCACGCCGUAAACGGUGGGCGCUAGGUGUGGGUUUCCUUUCCACGGGAUCCGUGCCGUAGCUAACGCAUUAAGCGCCCCCGCCUGGGGAGUACGGCCGCAAGCUAAAACUCAAAGGAAUUGACG
rnacentral:rRNA from 1 species